rnacentral:rRNA from 1 species
AUUGAACGCUGGCGGCAUGCUUUACACAUGCAAGUCGAACGGCAGCGCGGGCUUCGGCCUGGCGGCGAGUGGCGAACGGGUGAGUAAUGCAUCGGAACGUGCCCAGUAGUGGGGGAUAGCCCGGCGAAAGCCGGAUUAAUACCGCAUACGACCUGAGGGUGAAAGCGGGGGACCGAAAGGCCUCGCGCUAUUGGAGCGGCCGAUGUCGGAUUAGCUAGUUGGUGGGGUAAAGGCUUACCAAGGCGACGAUCCGUAGCUGGUCUGAGAGGACGACCAGCCACACUGGAACUGAGACACGGCCCAGACUCCUACGGGAGGCAGCAGUGGGGAAUUUUGGACAAUGGGGGCAACCCUGAUCCAGCCAUGCCGCGUGCGGGAAGAAGGCCUUCGGGUUGUAAAGCGCUUUUGUUCGGGAAGAAAUCCUCUGGGCUAAUACCCCGGGGGGAUGACGGUACCGGAAGAAUAAGCACCGGCUAACUACGUG